AUGGCGGGAUCCCAAUUCUUGGGUAUAUGGCUGCAUACAUUUGUUUUUCCCGAUUCCACUUUCUCAUCCUUAAACCCUAAACCGUCUGCCGGCCGCCAUGCGGCGCCACCACCACCUCUUCGUUAUCCUCCGCCGCGCGGUCGCCUCCUCUGCCUCCCAGCGCGCGCAGCCCCUUCCCUUGCUCCACUCCGUUGCGCUCCGAAAUGGCGCAGCUGGUUCCUUCUCCCCGUGCUUCUUCUCCUCCCGCGCCCGUUCCUCGGUCGGCGCCGCGAAGAGCCUUGUGGAAGACGAGGCGGAGCUCAGCGACUGGAUUAGCGACCUCAAAACUGACUCGUUCCACCUCGGUCUCAGCAGCGGAGACGAAGGCGAUGCGCCGUCCACCCGCAGGUCCUCGGUCGGCUCAUCCAGGGGCGGCCGAGGUGGGUCGGACUCCAGGGGUUCGUUCCCGAGGUCAAGUACGGCCGGCGGUGAGUUCAGUGGAGACAGACGCGGCGGCUUCGAGCAGAGGGGGAGGAUGAUUAGUAGUGGACUGGAUGAUGCUGAUUCCGGCUUUGGUUCCUCCAGGGGAAGGCGGGGACGGGGUGAGAGGACGUCGGGGUUCGUGAGAAGAGGAGGGAGGGGGAAUGGAUUUGAUGAGGAGGCCACAUUUAGGUCUCCUAGGGAGCAGCGAAGCCAGCGAGGGAGGGCUUCAGGUGUGGCGAGAAGGGGAGGGAGGUACAGUGACUUUGACCAAGAUGAUGGUGACACUGGAUUUGGGUCUUCAAGGGGAAGACACGGUGCCAGUGGUCAACUGUCUGUAUCCUCACACAGAAGAGGAAGGGUGAGUGAUUUAGAUGACGAUGAGGAUAGUGAUGAUGAUUUGGUUGGGUUUGGGGAUCUUGAUGGAAAGCAGCAUCAUGGUCGCAGGAAAGGGGGAAGGGAAAACACAGUUGGGCUGGGCCGAGGUCGGGGCAGGAGGGAUUUGGGUCUGUCACGAAAGGGAGGGAGUUACAAUGAUUUUGGUGAUUAUGAUGACGGAAGGAGAAGGACGUCCGAUCUUUUGCAGAGAACAGGGAGAGGAAGCGAUUUAGAUGACGAUGAAGAUGAUGAUGCUGGUCCAGUUGGGUUUGAUGGUUACAGUGUAAGGCAGCAAGGUGGCAGGAGAGGCAAAAUGGCGAAGAGUGUUGGACCACAUCGGGGUGGGAGGGGCAGCGAUACGGACUUUGGUCACCGACAGCCAAGGGGUCUGAAAAAAAUUGACUUUGGCUUGUCAGAGGAUGAUGAUGAGGCGGGGGAAGUUGAUGAGGAAGAUGAGCCAUCGGGGUUCGAAGAUGAUCUUUUUGAAGACGAGGGUGAUAAGGAGGAUGUGGGACAUAUAAUAGGUAAUAAGUCUGGCUCAUCUAUGUUACCCGAAGAUGAGCCAGCUAAAAAUGAAAGUGUACAGGGCAGAAGUGCUGGGGGUGGUGAUUCUUAUCUGAGCCAGAAGAGGUUUGAUGAAUGCCCGUUAUCUCCCUUGUCACUGAAAGGUGUUAAGGCUGCUGGGUAUGAACGGAUGACUGCUGUUCAGGAGGCUACUCUUCCUAUUAUACUUCAAGGGAAGGAUGUACUAGCCAAAGCAAAGACAGGAACUGGAAAAACUGUAGCUUUCUUGCUACCAGCAAUUGAAGUUGUUUCGAAAUUGCCACCUGUUGAUCGUGAUCUAAAGAAACCUCCCAUCAGUGUUGUAGUAGUGUGCCCUACACGUGAGCUUGCUGAUCAGGCUGCUGCAGAAGCUAACAAGCUUCUUAAAUUUCAUCCAUCAAUUGGAGUACAGCUUGUAAUAGGCGGCACUAGAAUGGCACUUGAACAGAAGCGCAUGCACACUAACCCUUGCCAGAUUCUAGUAGCUACUCCUGGAAGGCUUAGGGAUCACAUGGAGAACACUCCAGGGUUUGCUACAAGGUUGUUGGGUGUCAAAGUUCUAAUUCUUGAUGAAGCUGACCGCUUGUUAGAUAUGGGAUUCCGAUCAGAUAUUGAAAAAAUUGUGGCUGCACUACCAAAACAGCGUCAAACACUUCUAUUUUCUGCGACAGUUCCAGAUGAGGUUCGUCAAGUAUGUCAUAUUGCCAUGAAAAGAGAUCUUGAAUUCGUCAACACUGUUCAAGAAGGAAGUGAGGAAACACACUCUCAGGUGAAGCAAAUGCAUUUAAUUGCACCACUGGACAAACAAUUCUCCAACCUAUAUGGUCUUCUAACUGAUCAUAUUUCUGAAAAUGUUGACUACAAGGUGAUUGUAUUCUGUACAACAGCAAAAGUAACAAGCCUUGUUGCUGAGCUUCUGUCUGAGUUGAAGUUGAAUGUACGUGAGAUCCACUCCAGAAAACCUCAAAGCUACAGAACUAGGAUAUCGAAAGAAUUUAAGGAGUCAAAGGGUCUCAUUCUUGUUAGCUCUGAUGUAUCUGCCAGGGGUGUUGAUUAUCCCAAUGUCACACUAGUUGUGCAGUUGGGGGUGCCAACUGACAGAGAGCAAUAUAUUCAUCGACUUGGUAGAACUGGUCGCAGAGGCAAUGAGGGGACAGGAAUCUUACUAUUGGCACCAUGGGAAGAAUAUUUCCUUAGGAGCAUCAAUGACUUGCCUAUUACAGAGGCAACACAACCAUUAAUUGAUCUGGAUACUAAGAAAAAGAGGUUUCUAUUCUUUUGAUAAACCCAUCUGGGUUUUAUCUUCAUCAGCAGACAUGAAGGUUACUCAUUGCCCUCCCUCCCUCCAGCCAUCUUCUGAGUAUCAGGUUCAUAUUGAGAAACGGGCACAUAGCCAGCGGUAGCGGCUUCAGGUGCUGGAUAAGUGGAUAUACUGGCACGUGCCUGUUGCUUGGGAAACCUGUUGGGACUUUGUUUAUCUCCAAAAGGACGUGUGUCUAGUUUGUAGGUCUAGCAUUCGCAUGGGGUGUGCAUUGUGUGCGUGUGGGUGUCUUUGUGCGGAUGUUUAAAUACUUUAGCCUUAGGAAUCCAGCCUAAAACUUCUCGCACCCAUUUCUGCCACUGCUCAUUACAGACCACAAAUAGUUCAGGAAAGCGGUCUAACUAAAAGUCAGUUCUUUUUCUAUUACCAACCAAUAGAGAUCCUCCUUUUAAGGGCCUGUUUGGAAGCACCCAGUUUUUUAAAAACUGGAGUGGUUCCAAAAACAUACCACUAUGCCCCAGUUUAUAGAACAUGGAUCCCUUAAAAGCGAAAAAGCUGGCCUCUCCCAGCUAAAACCAGCUUGUCCAUUUAAUUACAUCAUGUCCUUGUUGAUUUCUCGGAAUGUACAUAUAUUGCCACUGUUUUUAAAUAGAGGAAGGUUAGGUUAGUCAUUGUGUAUCUAAGAAACUGCCUUCUUAGAAACCGGGUUCGAAACACCCUCACCCACUUUUUUUUACAAACCAGUUUCUAGAAAUUGGAGAUAGAAACUGGUUUCUUAAAAACUGUGGUGCUUUCAAACAAGCAAUAAAUGUAAACUGGGGUGCUUCCAAACUGUGGUACAACUUCAUGGAGUUGUGAUAUGGUUUUCUUUGUAAACUGGUAACCCCAGUAAAUAUAUUUUUGUUUCCUAUAAAUUAGGACUGAGGUCUUUGGUCUAAAAAUACAACUUCAUAUCUGGUCAGUGCUUUAUUUUAAAAUAUGUACUGUACCUACAACUUCGUAAGUCUAUGUAGAACAAUAUCCAAGUCGCUGACUUGCAUUAUGCUACAUUGUGUAUUUUGUAAUCGUGAGUAGGUCGAUAAGGCUCUUGCACAUGUGGAGGUUAAAGACAAGGAAUCCGCUUAUCAGGCGUGGCUUGGUUACUACAAUUCAAAUAAGGUCAUUGGGCGCGACAAAUACCAGCUUGUAUCACUUGCCAAUGAGUUCAGCAGAAGCAUGGGUCUCAACAACCCUCCUGCAGUGUCUAAGCUUGCCCUCAGGAAGAUGGGGCUGAACAACAUUCCAGGUCUGAGAUCAAAGUAACCAAUUGCCAU